rnacentral:lncRNA from 1 species
AUCUCUUCUCUCAUUAUCGAUCUCAUUAAACUCUCCUAACCCGUAGCCGUCUCUCUCGUUUCUCUUCUCUUCACAACCCACUCCCAUAUCCACACCCACACCCUCGCAGCCCCCACCGGACGACCACACCCACACCCUGGCGGCCCCACCGAACGACCACCCCUUUUCAUCGGAGACCACACCCUUACCGAUGUCUCAUCCUCGGGUAUGAGGAUCUGUGCGUCCCUCCAUCGUUCUCAAUAUUUAGUGGCGUGAUUCACCGAAGAAGGUAUGUGGAUCGUCGACUUCAUUUUUUUGCCGCAAAGGUAAGUUGGUUUCAGAAUAUUUUUUUUGUUAUGCGUUUAUAAUAAUUGGAGAAGUAGGGAAAAAAUAUGAAUAGAAAUAAAAAUUAAUUAUAUUAAUAUCUCCUUCAGUAAUUGAUUGUUCCAAAUUGAAGAGACACCAAUUCUAAUUCUUUAUCAUAGUUGCCAAUAUUAAUCUCUUCUUAUGCAGUUGCACUUUGUAGAAUCGGACUUUCCAUUAUAUUUUCUUGAAUUAAAUCUUAUAUGUUUGUUAUUGUUUUCCUUUAAUUGAAAUUUUCAGACUUCUGUUACGACACGCUUUUGCUAGCUUUUCGAGUUUAAUUAUUCGGUGACUUAUCGUCAUUAUUGUUGUAAUUGUUUUGAAUUCUCAUUCAGGAAAAUUGAUAUUGUUAUAAGCCAGAAAAUGGAGAUCGGUAAAGCGAUAAGAGAAAGUGAUGAUAUAAGAUUGAAUUUUUGUUCUUUUAAAUUUGGUAUUGUUUUUGUUCUUGAUGAUUUUUUUUUGACGAAAUUGCUGAUGGGAGGAAGAAGAUGAUGAUUUUUUCAAAUAGUGGUUUACGUUUCAAAUAACGAGAAGAAGAUGAUUACACGGACUAUGCUCUAGGGUUCAUUCGAGAGAAAAUGGUGUCCUUUAUAGUGGUUUUAUAGCUUCUUUUUUGCAGAAUUUUUUAUGUUUUCUUGUUAGAAUUCAUAGUGAUUUUCGAUGUUUAUAUAGUUGUGUAUAUAAUGUGAUUUUGAUGUUUAUAUAAUUGGUUUAUAUCGAGUGGUUUUCAUGUUUAUAUAGUUGUUUAUACCGAG